rnacentral:rRNA from 1 species
CGGAGGAUCCGAGCGUUAUCCGGAUUUAUUGGGUUCAAAGGGUGCGUAGGCGGCCUGUUAAGUCAGGGGUGAAAGACGGUAGCUCAACUAUCGCAGUGCCCUUGAUACUGAUGGGCUUGAAUGUACUAGAGGUAGGCGGAAUGUGACAAGUAGCGGUGAAAUGCAUAGAUAUGUCACAGAACACCAAUUGCGAAGGCAGCUUACUAUGGUAUUAUUGACGCUGAGGCACGAAAGCGUGGGGAUCAAACAGGAUUAGAUACCCUGGUAGUCCACGCCCUAAACGAUGAAUGCUCGAUGUUAGCGAUAUACAGUUAGCGUCAAAGCGAAAGCGUUAAGUAUUCCACCUGGGGAGUACGCCCGCAAGGGUG